rnacentral:miRNA from 1 species
GGCCAAAAAGUUCGUUCGGA